rnacentral:rRNA from 1 species
AUUGAACGCUAGCGGGAUGCCUUACACAUGCAAGUCGAACGGAGUGGCGAACGGGUGAGUAAUGUAUCGGAACGUGCCCAGUAGCGGGGGAUAAAUACGCGAAAGCGUAGCUAAUACCGCAUACUAUUGGAGCGGCCUAUGGCGGAUUAGCUAGUUGGUGGGGUAACGGCGAACCAAGGCGACGAUCCGUAGCGGGUUUGAGAGGACGACCAGCCACCCUGGGACUGAGACACGGCCCAGACUCCUCCGUGAGGCAGCAGUGGGGAAUUUUGGACAAUGGGGGAAACCCUGAUCCAGCCAUCCCGCGUGUGCGAUGAAGGCCUUCGGGUUGUAAAGCAGUUUUGGCAGGGAAGCGUUACCUGCAGAAUAAGCACCGGCUAACUACGUGCCAGCAGCCGCGGUAAUAC